GUUUUGGCUAGCCCCCCAUUGUCAGACGUCCCGAGCGCGUUCCCGAAGUCGGAAUCGGCAAAGGUGAGCCGGGACAGCCUUCUUCCUCCGCCCAGCCGCCACAGUGAUUGUCGUCAAGUCUGCCACAGGAGGAUAUUUUAUUCUGGGUUAACCUGCUUUUCUACUUCGCAGGUUGUUUAUCAAUAUUUGUGUAAUUUUAUUUACUCCUAGAAUUUCCGCAUGUGUUAGCAGUAAUUAUUUGAAUUUGGUCUGUAAUAUUAUUAUCAUGUUGGACCUGUAAACUUAAUAUUCUAUGUCUGUUUGAUGGAUUGGAUGAGGGAGCUGAGCUCCCAUUUCUUUUA